rnacentral:rRNA from 1 species
ACAGGGAUUGCCCUAGUAACGGCGAGUGAAGCGGCAACAGCUCAAAUUUGAAAUCUGGCUCUUUCAGAGUCCGAGUUGUAAUUUGCAGAGGGCGCUUUGGCUUUGGCAGCGGUCCAAGUUCCUUGGAACAGGACGUCACAGAGGGUGAGAAUCCCGUACGUGGUCGCUAGCUAUUGCCGUGUAAAGCCCCUUCGACGAGUCGAGUUGUUUGGGAAUGCAGCUCUAAAUGGGAGGUAAAUUUCUUCUAAAGCUAAAUAUUGGCCAGAGACCGAUAGCGCACAAGUAGAGUGAUCGAAAGAUGAAAAGCACUUUGGAAAGAGAGUCAAACAGCACGUGAAAUUGUUGAAAGGGAAGCGCUUGCAGCCAGACUUGCUUGCAGUUGCUCAUCCGGGCUUUUGCCCGGUGCACUCUUCUGCAGGCAGGCCAGCAUCAGUUUGGGCGGUGGGAUAAAGGUCUCUGUCACGUACCUCUCUUCGGGGAGGCCUUAUAGGGGAGGCGACAUACCACCAGCCUGGACUGAGGUCCGCGCAUCUGCUAGGAUGCUGGCGUAAUGGCUGUAAGCGGCCCGUCUUGAAACACGGACCAAGGAGUCUAACAUCUAUGCGAGUGUUUGGGUGUCAAGCCCGAGCGCGUAAUGAAAGUGAACGGAGGUGGGAACCCGCAAGGGCGCACCAUCGACCGAUCCUGAAGUUUACGGAAGGAUUUGAGUAAGAGCAUGGCUGUUGGGACCCGAAAGAUGGUGAACUAUGCUUGAAUAGGGUGAAGCCAGAGGAAACUCUGGUGGAGGCUCGCAGCGGUUCUGACGUGCAAAUCGAUCGUCAAAUUUGGGCAUAGGGGCGAAAGACUAAUCGAACU